rnacentral:tRNA from 1 species
UGCGGCGGUGACGGGCGCGGCGGCCACGGCCGGUGUUUCCGGCGCUGGUGCCGUACUGCUCAACGCGGGUUCGGCCACCGCCGCCGCCUC